rnacentral:rRNA from 1 species
AACGAACGCUGGCGGCAGGCUUAACACAUGCAAGUCGAACGGUUGUAGCAAUACAGCAGUGGCAGACGGGUGAGUAACACGUGGGAACCUUCCUAGGGGUACGGAACAACUCAGGGAAACUUGAGCUAAUACCGUAUACGUCCGCGAGGAGAAAGAUUUAUCGCCCUUAGACGGGCCCGCGUCGGAUUAGCUAGUUGGUGGGGUAACGGCCUACCAAGGCGACGAUCCGUAGCUGAUCUUAGAGGAUGAUCAGCCACACUGGGACUGAGACACGGCCCAGACUCCUCCGGGAGGCAGCAGUGGGGAAUCUUGGACAAUGGGCGCAAGCCUGAUCCAGCCAUGCCGCGUGAGUGAAGAAGGUCUUCGGAUUGUAAAGCUCUUUUGCCAGGGACGAUAAUGACGGUACCUGGAGAAUAAGCCCCGGCAAACUUCGUGCCAGCCGCCGCUGUAA